UGAGAAAAGCAAAUUUUUCCAAAGCCA
rnacentral:piRNA from 1 species